rnacentral:rRNA from 1 species
UGGAACAAUGUAGGCAAGGGAAGCGGAAAAACAGAUCCGUAACUUCUGGAAAAGGAUUGGCUCUGAGAACUAGGCUCGGGGGUCCAGCCCCGAACCCGUCGGUUGUCUGCGGAUUACUCAAGCUAAUCACGCGGUGACAUCAGGUCACCGUGUGCCGGCCGGGGGAUGGGAAUCGCCCCUUCGGGGACUUUCCCAAAGGAUGAAACAUACGACUCAGAACUGGUAUGGACAAGGGGAAUCCGACUGUUCAAUUAAAAUAAAGCAUUGCGAUCGUCCUCGCAGAUGUUGAGGCAAUGUGAUUUCUGCCCAGUGCUCUGAAUGUCAAAGUGAAGAAAUUCAACCAAGCACGGGUAAACGGCAGGAGUAACUAUGACUCUUAAGGUAGCCAAAUGCAUCAUCAUCUAAUUAGUGACGCGCAUGAAUGGAUUAACGAGAUUCCCACUGUCCCUGUCUACUACCCAGCAAAACCACAACCAAGGGAAUGGGGUUGG